rnacentral:rRNA from 1 species
AUGAACGUUGGCGGUGCGCCUAAUACAUGCAAGUCGAACGGAGACAGUAGCAAUAUUGUCUUAAUGGCUAACGGGUGAGUAACGCGUUGGUGAUCUGCCUCGAAGUGUGGAAUAACGUUCCGCAAGGAGCACUAAUACCGCAUGGUCUUUCGGUUUUUAGAAAACUGGAAGUAAAGGAGUAAUUCGCUUCGAGAGGAGCCUGCGUCCCAUCAGCUAGUUGGUAAGGUAAUGGCUUACCAAGGCUAUGACGGGUAGGGGACCUGAGAGGGUGGCCACCCACAAUGGAACUGAGACACGGUCCAUACACCUACGGGUGGCAGCAGUAGGGAAUAUUAGUAAUGGGCGAAAGCCUGAACUAGCGACACCGCGUGGGCGAAGAAGGCCUUCGGGUUGUAAAGCACUUUUAGAGAGGAUGAGGAAGGACGGUACUCUCUGAAUAAGUCGCGGCUAACUACGU